GAUGGAGGUAGAUAUGUAUAGGGAGAAGGAGACAGGGAUACUGGAGUGAUGGAGGUAGAUAUGUAUAGGGGGAAGGAGACAGGGAUACUGGAGUGAUGGAGGUAGAUAUGUAUAGGGGGAAGGAGACAGGGAUACUGGAGUGAUGGAGGUAGAUAUGUAUAGGGGGAAGGAGACAGGGAUACUGGAGUGAUGGAGGUAGAUAUGUAUAGGGGGAAGGAGACUAUAUACAGGGUCAGUACCAUAUUAACAAUGUACAGGGAUACUGGAGUGAUGGAGGUAGAUAUGUAUAGGGGGAAGGAGACUAUAUACAGGGUCAGUACCAUAUUAACAAUGUACAGGGAUACUGGAGUGAUGGAGGUAGAUAUGUAUAGGGGGAAGGAGACAGGGAUACUGGAGUGAUGGAGGUAGAUAUGUAUAGGGGGAAGGAGACAGGGAUACUGGAGUGAUGGAGGUAGAUAUGUAUAGGGGGAAGGAGACAGGGAUACUGGAGUGAUGGAGGUAGAUAUGUAUAGGGGGAAGGAGACAGGGAUACUGGAGUGAUGGAGGUAGAUAUGUAUAGGGGGAAGGAGACAGGGAUACUGGAGUGAUGGAGGUAGAUAUGUAUAGGGGGAAGGAGACAGGGAUACUGGAGUGAUGGAGGUAGAUAUGUAUAGUGGGAAGGAGACAGGGAUACUGGAGUGAUGGAGGUAGAUAUGUAUAGUGGGAAGGAGACAGGGAUACUGGAGUGAUGGAGGUAGAUAUGUAUAGGGGGAAGGAGACAGGGAUACUGGAGUGAUGGAGGUAGAUAUGUAUAGGGGGAAGGAGACUAUAUACAGGGUCAGUACCAUAUUAACAAUGUACAGGGAUACUGGAGUGAUGGAGGUAGAUAUGUAUAGGGGGAAGGAGACAGGGAUACUGGAGUGAUGGAGGUAGAUAUGUAUAGGGGGAAGGAGACAGGGAUACUGGAGUGAUGGAGGUAGAUAUGUAUAGGGGGAAGGAGACAGGGAUACUGGAGUGAUGGAGGUAGAUAUGUAUAGGGGGAAGGAGACAGUGAUACUGGAGUGAUGGAGGUAGAUAUGUAAUGGAAUUAAGUAUUAGUUACUGGCUAGUCACAGGGGGACUGUUUGUUACUGGGGGACUGUUUGUUACUGGCUAGUCACAGGGUGACUGUUUGUUACUGGCUAGUCA